rnacentral:tRNA from 3 species
GGGAGGAUACCGAAGCGGUCAAACGGGACUGACUGUAAAUCAGUUGGCUAUGCCUUCACAGGUUCGAAUCCUGUUCCUCCCACCA